rnacentral:rRNA from 1 species
GAUGAACGCUAGCGGCAGGCUUAAUACAUGCAAGUCGAGGGGCAUCAAGGUACACGAAAGUGUAUUGUUGGCGACCGGCGGACGGGUGAGUAAUAGGUAGGUAACCUACCUCAUACUGAGGCAUAGCUGGGAGAAAUUCCAGGUAAUUCCUCAUGAGGUUAUAUGACACAUGUGAUAUAAUCAAAGGUAUCGCAAGGUACUGGUAUGAGAUGGGCUUACUGACCAUUAGCUAGUUGGUGAGAUAAGAGCUCACCAAGGCGAAGAUGGUUAGGGGUUUUGAGAGAGAGAUCCCCCACAUUGGAACUGAGAUACGGUCCAGACUCCUACGGGAGGCAGCAGUAGGGAAUAUUGGGCAAUGGGCGGAAGCCUGACCCAGCCAUGCCGCGUGAAGGAAGACGGCCUUAUGGGUUGUAAACUUCUUUACUAUGCGACUAACUAGAUUUACGAGAUAAUUCUAUAGAAUGUAGCAUAGCAAAAAGCACCCGGCUAACUCCGUGCCAGCAGCCCGCGGUAAUACGGAGGGUGCGAGCGGUAUUCGGAAUUACUGGGUUUAAAGGGUGCGUAGGCCGGCUAAGUAAGUUGUCAUUGAAAGGCUACAGCUCAACUG